AUCGAACGCUGGCGGCAUGCCUUACACAUGCAAGUCGAACGGCAGCACGGGAGCUUGCUCCUGGUGGCGAGUGGCGAACGGGUGAGUAAUACAUCGGAACGUGCCCAGUAGUGGGGGAUAGCCCGGCGAAAGCCGGAUUAAUACCGCAUACGACCUACGGGUGAAAGCGGGGGACCGUAAGGCCUCGCGCUAUUGGAGCGGCCGAUGUCUGAUUAGCUUGUUGGUGGGGUAAAAGCCCACCAAGGCGACGAUCAGUAGCUGGUCUGAGAGGACGAUCAGCCACACUGGGACUGAGACACGGCCCAGACUCCUACGGGAGGCAGCAGUGGGGAAUUUUGGACAAUGGGGGCAACCCUGAUCCAGCAAUGCCGCGUGUGCGAAGAAGGCCUUCGGGUUGUAAAGCACUUUUGACAGGGAAGAAAUCUUUCAGGCUAAUACCCUUGGAAGGAUGACGGUACCUGAAGAAUAAGCACCGGCUAACUACGUGCCAGCAGCCGCGGUAA
rnacentral:rRNA from 1 species